GACGAACGCUGGCGGCGUGCCUAAUACAUGCAAGUCGAGCGAAGUUUUUCUGGUGCUUGCACUAGAAAAACUUAGCGGCGAACGGGUGAGUAACACGUAAAGAACCUGCCUCAUAGACUGGGACAACUAUUGGAAACGAUAGCUAAUACCGGAUAACAGUAUUUCUCGCAUGAGAGAUAUUUAAAAGUUGGUUAUGCUAACACUAUGAGAUGGCUUUGCGGUGCAUUAGCUAGUUGGUGGGGUAAAGGCCCACCAAGGCGACGAUGCAUAGCCGACCUGAGAGGGUGAUCGGCCACACCGGGACUGAGACACGGCCCAGACUCCUACGGGAGGCAGCAGUAGGGAAUCUUCCGCAAUGGGCGAAAGCCUGACGGAGCAACGCCGCGUGAGUGAAGAAGGAUUUCGGUUCGUAAAGCUCUGUUGUUAGGGAAGAAUGGAUAUGUAGUAACUAUACAUGUAAGAGACGGUACCUAACCGGAAAGCCACGGCUAACUACGUG
rnacentral:rRNA from 1 species